GGCAUACGGCUCAGUAACGCGUAGUCAACCUACCCUAUGGACGGGGAUAAUCUCGGGAAACUGAGCAUAAUACCCGGCAGACCACUUAUCCUGGAAUGGUUAGUGGUUAAAAUGAUUCGUCGCCAUAGGAUGGGACUGCGGCCUAUCAGCUUGUUGGUGAGGUAAUGGCCCACCAAGGCGAUUACAGGUACGGGCUCUGAGAGGAGAGGCCCGGAGAUGGGUACUGAGACAAGGACCCAGGCCCUAUGGGGCGCAGCAGGCGAGAAAACUUUGCAAUGUGCGAAAGCACGACAAGGUUAAUCCGAGUGAUUUCUGCUAAAGGAAUCUUUUGUUAGUUCUAAAAAUACUAGUGAAUAAGGGGUGGGCAAGUUCUGGUGUCAGCCGCCGCGGUAAAACCAGCACCUCAAGUGGUCAGGAGGAUUAUUGGGCCUAAAGCAUCCGUAGCCUGUUCUAUAAGUUUGCGGUUAAAUCUAUACGCUCAACGUAUAGGCUGCCGUAAAUACUGUAGAACUAGGGAGUGGGAGAGGUAGACGGUACUCGAUAGGAAGGGGUAAAAUCCUUUGAUCUAUUGAUGACCACCUGUGGCGAAGGCGGUCUACCAGAACACGUUCGACGGUGAGGGAUGAAAGCUGGGGGAGCAAACCGGAUUAGAUACCCGGGUAGUCCCAGCUGUAAACGAUGCAGACUCGAUGAUGCAAUGGCAUAGAGCUAUUGCAGUAUCGCAGGGAAGCCGUUAAGUUUGCCGCCUGGGAAGUACGUACGCAAGCAUGAAACUUAAAGGAAUUGGCGGGGGAGCACCACAAGGGGUGAAGCCUGCGGUUCAAUUGGAUCAACGCCGG
rnacentral:rRNA from 1 species